rnacentral:rRNA from 1 species
AUUGAACGCUGGCGGUAUGCUUAAGACAUGCAAGUCGAACGGUAACAGACCUUCGGGUGCUGACGAGUGGCGGACGGGUGAGUAACACGUGGGAAUCUACCUUGUAGUGGGGGAUAAGCCAGGGAAACUUGGACUAAUACCGCAUACGCCCUAAGGGGGAAAGGAGCAAUUCGCUAUAAGAUGAGCCCGCGUCUGAUUAGCUAGUUGGUGAGGUAAAGGCUCACCAAGGCGACGAUCAGUAGCUGGUCUGAGAGGAUGACCAGCCACAUUGGGACUGAGACACGGCCCAGACUCCUACGGGAGGCAGCAGUCGGGAAUAUUGGACAAUGGGGGCAACCCUGAUCCAGCAAUACCGCGUGUGUGAAGAAGGCCUGCGGGUUGUAAAGCACUUUUAGUAGGGAAGAUAAUGACGUUACCUACAGAAGAAGCACCGGCUAACUCCG